rnacentral:rRNA from 1 species
UACGAGGGGGGCGAGCGUUGUUCGGAAUUAUUGGGCGUAAAGGGUGCGUAGGCGGUUUGGUAAGUCUGAUGUGAAAUCUAUGGGCUCAACUCAUAGUCUGCAUCGGAAACUGCCGGGCUUGAGUAUGGGAGAGGUGAGUGGAAUUCCUGGUGUAGCGGUGAAAUGCGUAGAUAUCAGGAGGAACACCUGUGGCGAAAGCGGCUCACUGGACCAUAACUGACGCUGAUGCACGAAAGCUAGGGGAGCAAGCAGG